GCAGCCGAAGCGAAAGCAAGUCUGAAUAGGGCGCUUAGUUAGUAGAGGUAGACGCGAAACCCGGUGAUCUACCCAUGGCCAGGUUGAAGCUCCGGUAACACGGGGUGGAGGACCGAACCCGUUGACGUUGAAAAGUCUUGGGAUGAGCUGUGGGUAGGGGUGAAAGGCCAAUCAAGCUCGGAAAUAGCUCGUACUCCCCGAAAUGCAUUUAGG
rnacentral:rRNA from 1 species